GUGGGGAAUAUUGGGCAAUGGGCGAAAGCCUGACCCAGCAACGCCGCGUGAAGGAAGAAGGUCUUCGGAUCGUAAACUUCUAUCCUUGGUGAAGAUAAUGACGGUAGCCGAGAAGGAAGCCCCGGCUAACUACGUGCCAGCAGCCGCGGUAAUACGUAGGGGGCAAGCGUUGUCCGGAAUGAUUGGGCGUAAAGGGCGCGUAGGCGGCCUGGUAAGUCUGGAGUGAAAGUCCUGCUUUUAAGGUGGGAAUUGCUUUGGAUACUGUCGGGCUUGAGUGCAGGAGAGGUAAGUGGAAUUCCCGGUGUAGCGGUGAAAUGCGUAGAGAUCGGGAGGAACACCAGUGGCGAAGGCGACUUACUGGACUGUAACUGACGCUGAGGCGCGAAAGUGUGGGGAGCAAACAGGAUUAGAAACCCUGGUAGUCC
rnacentral:rRNA from 1 species